AAUAAGUGCAGUUUUAUAAUAUUCACGUUUAACGUUUGACCAUUUGUUUUAUUUAAAAAUUUUUUAUGAUUAGUAUUUUUAUUGCUAUUAGAUGAUAAAACAUGAAUAAUACUUUAUGUGUGACUAAAUAUUUUCAAAUUUUUCAAAAAAUUUUUAAAUAAGACGGACGAUCAAACGUUGGGCACGGAUAUCCACGGCUACACUUAUU
rfam:Oryza sativa Japonica Group DNA, chromosome 10, cultivar: Nipponbare, complete sequence.